rnacentral:rRNA from 1 species
CGAAGCCUACGGGGGGCAGCAGUAGGGAAUCUUCCACAAUGGACGAAAGUCUGAUGGAGCAACGCCGCGUGAGUGAAGAAGGGUUUCGGCUCGUAAAGCUCUGUUGGGAGUGAAGAAAGAUAGAGGUAGUAACUUGCCUUUAUUUGACGGUAAUUACUUAGAAAGUCACGGCUAACUACGUGCCAGCAGCCGCGGGAAUACGGAGGUGGCAAGCGUUGUCCGGAUUUAUUGGG